rnacentral:sRNA from 1 species
AAUGAAGGAACCUGGGCAACGGCAAUG